rnacentral:rRNA from 1 species
UACAGAGGGUGCAAGCGUUAAUCGGAAUUACUGGGCGUAAAGCGUGCGCAGGCGGUUCGUUAUGUCCGAUGUGAAAGCCCCGAGCUCAACUUGGGAAUGGCAUUGGAAACUGGCGGGCUGGAGUGUGGCAGAGGGGGGUGGAAUUCCACGUGUAGCAGUGAAAUGCGUAGAAAUGUGGAGGAACACCGAUGGCGAAGGCAGCCCCCUGGGCCAACACUGACGCUCAGGCACGAAAGCGUGGGGAGCAAACAGG